GGGUUGUGAGGUUAAGCGACUAAGCGUACACGGUGGAUGCCUAGGCAAUCAGAGGCGAUGAAGGACGUGCUAAUCUGCGAUAAGCGUCGGUAAGGUGAUAUGAACCGUUACAACCGACGAUUUCCGAAUGGGGAAACCCAGUGCAAUUCGUUGCACUAUCGUUUGAUGAAUACAUAGUCAAACGAAGCGAACCGGGGGAACUGAAACAUCUCAGUACCCCGAGGAAAAGAAAUCAACCGAGAUUCCCCUAGUAGCGGCGAGCGAACGGGGAGCAGCCCAGAGUCUUAAUCAGCAUUAGCAUCAGGAGAACGGUCUGGAAAGUCCGGCAGUAAAGGGUGAUAGCCCCGUAUCCGAAGGUGUUAGUGUUGUGAACUCGACGAGUAGGGCGGGACACGUGUUAUCCUGUCUGAAUAUGGGGGGACCAUCCUCCAAGGCUAAAUACUCCUGAUUGACCGAUAGUGAACCAGUACCGUGAGGGAAAGGCGAAAAGAACCCCGGCGAGGGGAGUGAAAUAGAACCUGAAACCGUGUACGUACAAGCAGUGGGAGCACCUUUAGGGUGUGACUGCGUACCUUUUGUAUAAUGGGUCAGCGACUUAUAUUCUGUAGCAAGGUUAACCGUAUAGGGGAGCCGUAGGGAAACCGAGUCUUAACUGGGCGAAUAAGUUGCAGGGUAUAGACCCGAAACCCGGUGAUCUAGCCAUGGGCAGGUUGAAGGUUGGGUAACACUAACUGGAGGACCGAACCGACUAAUGUUGAAAAAUUAGCGGAUGACUUGUGGCUGGGGGUGAAAGGCCAAUCAAACCGGGAGAUAGCUGGUUCUCCCCGAAAGCUAUUUAGGUAGCGCCUCGUGAACUCAUCUUCGGGGGUAGAGCACUGUUUCGACUAGGGGGUCAUCCCGACUUACCAACUCGAUGCAAACUACGAAUACCGAAGAAUGUUAUCACGGGAGACACACGGCGGGUGCUAACGUUCGUCGUGAAGAGGGAAACAACCCAGACCGCCAGCUAAGGUCCCAAAGUCAUAGUUAAGUGGGAAACGAAGUGGGAAGGCUCAGACAGCCAGGAUGUUGGCUUAGAAGCAGCCAUCAUUUAAAGAAAGCGUAAUAGCUCACUGGUCGAGUCGGCCUGCGCGGAAGAUGUAACGGGGCUAAACUAUGCACCGAAGCUGCGGCAGCGAUAUUUAGAUAUUGUUGGGUAGGGGAGCGUUCUGUAAGCCUGUGAAGGUGUGCUGUGAGGCAUGCUGGAGGUAUCAGAAGUGCGAAUGCUGACAUAAGUAACGAUAAUGCGGGUGAAAAACCCGCACGCCGGAAGACCAAGGGUUCCUGUCCAACGUUAAUCGGGGCAGGGUGAGUCGACCCCUAAGGCGAGGCAGAAAUGCGUAGUCGAUGGGAAACGGGUUAAUAUUCCCGUACUGGUGAUAAUUGCGAUGGGGGGACGGAGAAGGCUAGGCUAUCCGGGCGACGGUUGUCCCGGUUUAAGGAUGUAGGCAGGUGAAUUAGGCAAAUCCGGUUCACUACAUGCUGAGGUCCGAUGACGAGUCACUACGGUGAUGAAGUAGCUCAUGCCCCGCUUCCAGGAAAAGCCUCUAAGCUCUAGAUUAUCAUUAAUCGUACCCCAAACCGACACAGGUGGUCAGGUAGAGAAUACUCAGGCGCUUGAGAGAACUCGGGUGAAGGAACUAGGCAAAAUGGUGCCGUAACUUCGGGAGAAGGCACGCUGGCAUUAGGUGAAGUGAUUUACUCAUGGAGCUGAAGCCAGUCGCAGAUACCAGCUGGCUGCAACUGUUUAUUAAAAACACAGCACUGUGCAAACACGAAAGUGGACGUAUACGGUGUGACGCCUGCCCGGUGCUGGAAGGUUAAUUGAUGGGGUUAUCCGUAAGGAGAAGCUCUUGAUCGAAGCCCCAGUAAACGGCGGCCGUAACUAUAACGGUCCUAAGGUAGCGAAAUUCCUUGUCGGGUAAGUUCCGACCUGCACGAAUGGCGUAAUGAUGGCCAGGCUGUCUCCACCCGAGACUCAGUGAAAUUGAACUCGCUGUGAAGAUGCAGUGUACCCGCGGCAAGACGGAAAGACCCCGUGAACCUUUACUAUAGCUUGACACUGAACAUUGAGCCUUGAUGUGUAGGAUAGGUGGGAGGCUUUGAAGUGUGGACGCCAGUCUGCAUGGAGCCAACCUUGAAAUACCACCCUUUAAUGUUUGAUGUUCUAACGUUGCCCCGUUAUCCGGGGUGCGGACAGUGUCUGGUGGGUAGUUUGACUGGGGCGGUCUCCUCCCAAAGAGUAACGGAGGAGCACGAAGGUUGGCUAAGCAUGGUCGGACAUCAUGCGGUUAGUGCAAAGGCAUAAGCCAGCUUGACUGCGAGAGUGACGGCUCGAGCAGGUACGAAAGUAGGUCUUAGUGAUCCGGUGGUUCUGAAUGGAAGGGCCAUCGCUCAACGGAUAAAAGGUACUCCGGGGAUAACAGGCUGAUACCGCCCAAGAGUUCAUAUCGACGGCGGUGUUUGGCACCUCGAUGUCGGCUCAUCACAUCCUGGGGCUGAAGUAGGUCCCAAGGGUACGGCUGUUCGCCGUUUAAAGUGGUACGCGAGCUGGGUUUAGAACGUCGUGAGACAGUUCGGUCCCUAUCUGCCGUGGGCGUUGGAAGAUUGAAAGGGGCUGCUCCUAGUACGAGAGGACCGGAGUGGACGCACCACUGGUGUUCGGGUUGUCAUGCCAAUGGCAUUGCCCGGUAGCUAAGUGCGGAAGAGAUAACCGCUGAAAGCAUCUAAGCGGGAAACUUGCCUUGAGAUGAGUCUUCCCUGACUCUUUAAGGGUCCUAAAGGAACGUUUAAGACUAAGACGUUGAUAGGUUGGGUGUGUAAGCGUAGCGAUACGUUGAGCUAACCAAUACUAAUGAACCGUGAGGCUUAACCUGACAACACCGAAGGUGUUUUAG
rnacentral:rRNA from 1 species